UGGGGAAUAUUGCACAAUGGGCGCAAGCCUGAUGCAGCCAUACCGCGUGUAUGAAGAAGGCCUUCGGGUUGUAAAGUACUUUCAGCGAGGAGGAAGGCGGUAAGGUUAAUAACCUUAUCGAUUGACGUUACUCGCAGAAGAAGCACCGGCUAACUCCGUGCCAGCAGCCGCGGUAAUACGGAGGGUGCAAGCGUUAAUCGGAAUUACUGGGCGUAAAGCGCACGCAGGCGGUCUGUCAAGUCGGAUGUGAAAUCCCCGGGCUCAACCUGGGAACUGCAUUCGAAACUGGCAGGCUAGAGUCUUGUAGAGGGGGGUAGAAUUCCAGGUGUAGCGGUGAAAUGCGUAGAGAUCUGGAGGAAUACCGGUGGCGAAGGCGGCCCCCUGGACAAAGACUGACGCUCAGGUGCGAAAGCGUGGGGAGCAAACA
rnacentral:rRNA from 1 species